rnacentral:rRNA from 1 species
CCUUUUGUAUAAUGGGUCAGCGACUUAUAUUCUGUAGCAAGGUUAACCGAAUAGGGGAGCCGUAGGGAAACCGAGUCUUAACCGGGCGUUAAGUUGCAGGGUAUAGACCCGAAACCCGGUGAUCUAGCCAUGGGCAGGUUGAAGGUUGGGUAACACUAACUGGAGGACCGAACCGACUAAUGUUGAAAAAUUAGCGGAUGACCUGUGGCUGGGGGUGAAAGGCCAAUCAAACCGGGAGAUAGCUGGUUCUCCCCGAAAGCUAUUUAGGUAGCGCCUCGUGAAUUCAUCUCCGGGGGUAGAGCACUGUUUCGGCUAGGGGGCCAUCCCGGCUUACCAACCCGAUGCAAACUGCGAAUACCGGAGAAUGUUAUCACGGGAGACACACGGCGGGUGCUAACGUCCGUCGUGAAGAGGGAAACAACCCAGACCGCCAGCUAAGGUCCCAAAGUCAUGGUUAAGUGGGAAACGAUGUGGGAAGGCCCAGACAGCCAGGAUGUUGGCUUAGAAGCAGCCAUCAUUUAAAGAAAGCGUAAUAGCUCACUGGUCGAGUCGGCCUGCGCGGAAGAUGUAACGGGGCUAAACCAU